UACGGGGGGGGCAAGCGUUGUUCGGAAUUACUGGGCGUAAAGGGCUUGUAGGUGGCCAACUAAGUCAGACGUGAAAUCCCUCGGCUUAACCGGGGAACUGCGUCUGAUACUGGAUGGCUAGAGUUUGGGAGAGGGAUGCGGAAUUCCAGGUGUAGCGGUGAAAUGCGUAGAUAUCUGGAGGAACACCGGUGGCGAAGGCGGGUCUCUGGGCAGUAACUGACGCUGAGGAGCGAAAGCGUGGGGAGCGAACAGG
rnacentral:rRNA from 1 species